rnacentral:rRNA from 1 species
GAUCAUGGCUCAGGUUGAACGCUGGCGGCGUGCUUAACACAUGCAAGUCGUACGCGAAAGGGACUUCGGUCCCGAGUAAAGUGGCGCACGGGUGAGUAACACGUGGAUGAUCUGCCUCUAUGAUGGGGAUAACAGUUGGAAACGACUGCUAAUACCGAAUACGCUCAUGAUGAACGUUGUGAGGAAAGGUGGCCUCUGCUUGCAAGCUAUCGCAUAGAGAUGAGUCCG